rnacentral:rRNA from 1 species
CACCGCGGUUAGACGGGUUGGCUCAAGUUGAGCUAUUCGGCGUAAAGGGUGGUUAAUGAUAAAUACACUAAGGCCGAACUUCAUCAGAGCCCUGGUAAGCCACGAUGACAUGGAAGCCCCCUAGCGAAAGUAGCUUUAAGUAUUAUGACCCCACGAAAGCUAGGAGA